rnacentral:rRNA from 1 species
GAGUUUGAACCUGGCUCAGGAUGAACGCUGGCGGCGUGCCUAAUACAUGCAAGUCGAGCGAACCACUUCGGUGGUGAGCGGCGAACGGGUGAGUAACACGUAGGUGAUCUGCCCAUCAGACGGGGACAACGAUUGGAAACGAUCGCUAAUACCGGAUAGGACGAAAGUUUAAAGGUGCUUCUGGCACCGCUGAUGGAUGAGCCUGCGGCGCAUUAGCUAGUUGGUAGGGUAAAGGCCUACCAAGGCGACGAUGCGUAGCCGACCUGAGAGGGUGAACGGCCACACUGGGACUGAGACACGGCCCAGACUCCUACGGGAGGCAGCAGUAGGGAAUCUUCGGCAAUGGGCGAAAGCCUGACCGAGCAACGCCGCGUGAAUGAUGAAGGCCUUCGGGUUGUAAAAUUCUGUUAUAAGGGAAGAACGACUUUAGUAGGAAAUGGCUAGAGUGUGACGGUACCUUAUGAGAAAGCCACGGCUAACUACGUGCCAGCAGCCGCGGUAAUACGUAGGUGGCGAGCGUUAUCCGGAAUUAUUGGGCGUAAAGAGCGCGCAGGUGGUUGAUUAAGUCUGAUGUGAAAGCCCACGGCUUAACCGUGGAGGGUCAUUGGAAACUGG